GUUUUCACACCGAUGUGAAAAAUACUUGAAAAAACCUAAGUCCCUCUUUUCUUCGAGAACUCGCUCACAACGCACUGUACCAUCACCUCUCUUUUGUGUGCCGGAGCUUCCCCCACCGUCUCCCGACCUCCUUCCACCGUCUCCCGACCUCUCAUUCCUCGGCAGAACCGCAGCAACGCAGGUGCCCUCCACCGUCUCCCGACCUCCUUCCACCACGUCACUCACCUCGAUCUCUCAUUCUUCUCCCUGUGGAGCUACACGCUCUUCUCCACCGACUCCUCCGACUCCCAGCCCCACCGCCUCGCCCUCUGACUCCGUCGCGCCUUCCCUCACGUCACCUCAGUUACCCUCUACGCCCUCCUCAGGAACAAGGGGAUACUGUUUGUAGCUAUUGACCAUAAUAGGCCUCUUUCAUACCAAGGUCUUUUUGAUAUAGUGUUGAAUAAGUUAUCGGGGAAAGAGUGGCGCCAAGUUCUUGAGAAGCUUGGCACCUGUUGUGGAAAGGUACUUAGCUUGAGUUGAAAAAACAGUAGCAGCUGAGUUGAAAGGAUUUCUGGUGAGAACAAGCAUUAUGGGAUACCAACCAAUCCUCUGUUGUCGUCUUGCAUUCCUGGAGGUUCUUCAAGUGGUUCAGCUCUAGCUCUAACUACAUUUAAAGAACUAGAAUUGCUGAAUUGUUCUAGUUCUUUUAGGCUAUUAUGUUUUUUUUUUUGCUGGGACCUUGGAUGUUUAACUCACUUGAGAGAGUGUGUUCUCAAGAUAUCUUUUUAUUUUAAUAAAUUUUCAUUAAAAAAAUAUGUA